GUGAAUCAUCGAAUCUUUGAACGCAAAUUGCACUCCCUGGUAUUCCGGGGAGUAUGCCUGUUUGAGGGUCGUUAGAACAAAAAUCGAACCGUCGCUCUUUUUUUUAAGGGUGAUCGCGUCGGAAUUGUGCCGUCUUUCAAAUUUUAAUGCAUGUCAAAGUGUCUUAAAAUUCAUCCAUCCGGUAUGAUUAAAGCGUAUUUAAGAUCAAUUUCGAUUAAGAACGCGUGAU
rnacentral:misc_RNA from 1 species